AAAAAAUAUUAAUUUAAAAAUAAGAUCUUUAUUUGAUUACAAAUAUGAAAUAUUUAUAUUCGCUAGUAAUAUUGAAGAUGAUUUGUAUUGAUGAUGGAAUUGAUAGAAGGUAAAGUUAGUAGUUAGAAAUGGUGAUGAUGAUAGUUGUGAAAGUGGAUAUGAUUGGUAUUGUAGCGACUAUCAUGAUGAUGAUGAUUGAUAGCAGUGAUGAUAGUUAUAAUGGUGGAGUUGAUUGAUGCUAGUAGUUGACAAUGUUGAAGGUGAUAGGUGAUGACGUGUGGUGGUCGAAGUUGGUAGUUGAAAUUGAUUUCAAUAGCUGAUAGUAAUGGUUGUGGAGGUGGUGACAAUGGAUAUAAUUUCAAUGGAGGUGGUAAGAAGUAGUGUUAAUUAUUUGCAUUUAAAUAUAUAUUUGAAUAACUAAAAUGUUUCUAGAUUUGAAUAUGUAUAACUUAUUUAUCUAUAAACACAAUAAAAAUAUAAUGUAAAUAAUUAAUUAAUAAAAUAAAAAAAUAUUAAUUUAAUAAUAAGAUCAUUAUUCGAUUACAAAUAUAAAAUAUUUAUAUUCGCUAGUAAUGAUGAAGAUUAUUUGUAUUAACGCUGGUGAUGAUAGACUGUAGUGUUAGUAGUUAGCAAUGGUGAUGAUUAUAGUUGUGCAGUGGGCAUGGUUGGUGUUGUACCGAAAGCCAUGAUGAUGACGAUUGAUAGCAAUUAUGAUAAUUAUAAUGGUGGAGUUGAUUGAUACUAGUAGUUGGCGGUGUUGAUGGUGGUAGUUGAAAACUUGUGGUGGUUGAAGUUGGUAGUUGAAAUUGGUUUCAGUUGAUGAUAGUAAUGGUUGUGGAGGUGGUGACAAUGGAUAUAAUUUCAAUGGUAGAGAUUAUAGAUAGAUUACUGGUUAGUAGUGGUGUUGAUCGUCACGGUUGUAGGUGGUUCCUGGUGGUUGAUUAUGGUGGUCCUAACCAAGGUAGUUAGUGGUAGUGACAGAAGAUUGUCGAUGGAGUGAUGACGAAUAUUCUCCUAAAUAAGAAUACCUUUUUUGAUAUUAAGAUUUUAUUCUGGAUCUUAUUGAGUAAGACAUAUUAAAUGACUAAAUCUUAAUGAAAAUAAAUUCACUUAAUGAUUUAACUAAGGUCUCAAUCAUUCAAAUUCAAACCUCCAUUAAAUCUAAACAAAUGAAGCUUCUGUCAAAUUAUGUGAUAUAAUUCGAAUCAACACAAAAUUUCAAAAACAAAUAAAGAGUUUUAAAAUUUGUAAUCUUAAACAUAUAUCAUAGCAUUAAUGUGACUGUAAAAUUUUUGAAACAUAUAUCCUUAAACCUAAUACUUCCUUUGUCUCACUUUAUGUUAAGAUAUUCAGAUUGCAAUUGCAAAACACUUAAUAUAAAUAUAUAUGUAUGUAUCCGUCAAAUAUUUUAAAAUAAAUUUUACAUAUUUGAAACUAUAUGAAACAAAUGAUACAAGUCAACAUAGAUAAUAGUUAUAAAUUGAGAUAUGACACAAGUACACCUCACCCAGUCCCCUCUCCCCUCCUUCCACCCAAAAUAUACUUAAAAUUGCUAUGACACAUCUAAAUUUUAUUAUGAAUUUGUUUUUUUUAAAAUAUAUUUUUGUGCUCCUUUUUAUUGACAUGAUUGUUAAGUAGCAAAAUAUUUUUGUACUUAUUUUGUGUAGAAAAAAUAAGUUGGAGAGGGGAGUGGGGGGGGGGGGG
rnacentral:lncRNA from 1 species